rnacentral:rRNA from 1 species
GACGAACGCUGGCGGCGUGCUUAACACAUGCAAGUCGAACGGAAAGGCCCUGCUUUUGUGGGGUGCUCGAGUGGCGAACGGGUGAGUAACACGUGAGUAACCUGCCCUUGACUUUGGGAUAACUUCAGGAAACUGGGGCUAAUACCGGAUAGGAGCUCCUGCUGCAUGGUGGGGGUUGGAACGUUUCGGCGGUUGGGGAUGGACUCGCGGGUUAUCAGCUUGUUGGUGGGGUAGUGGCUUACCAAGGCUUUGACGGGUAGCCGGCCUGAGAGGGUGACCGGCCACAUGGGGACUGAGAUACGGCCCAGACUCCUACGGGAGGCAGCAGUGGGGAAUAUUGCACAAUGGGCGGAAGCCGGAUGCAGCAACGCCGCGUGCGGGAUGACGGCCUGCGGGUUGUAAACCGCUUUCGCCUGUGACGAAGCGUGAGUGACGGUAAUGGGUAAAGAAGCACCGGCUAACUACGUG